AACACAUACAAGUAAUGCCAAGACGGGAAUCUAAAGCUGGCAGCAGUCCUGAGAAGACCAACGAGCAUCCUUCCUAGUGUUAAAAAUCUCACUGCUAUAGAAACACUGGAGAAGUGGCUUUAACAUCACUACAAGAAUAGUCAUGGCAACAUGUUUAAAUUACUAUAUGAUGCUGCCUGGCCUGUUCGGUACCUCCAGCAUUUCGUGUGAGUUAUCAUGAGAAGUAGUUAUCUUUAUUCUUUCAUUUAUUUUUGCUGAGGAUAAGCUAACCAGCAUUCAACACCAGAGGACAACCAAGGGAAGGGUUUUUGUUGCCUCACAAAGCAACAGCACUGGGAGGCAGUGGUGUGAAGGUGCACUGCAAGACACAGGACAUACUUCACAAUCAACUGAAUAUCUGCUGGGCACAGACUUGCCAUCAAUGAAUAGUUUCAUCAGCUAGCUUAUUGCAUUGUAAAAUUCAAAACUUAGCUUCCUAUAAGGAGCCUGUUCAACAUGGGAAAUAAGAUACUGCGCAAAACCCAAGAAGUGCCUACAAAAAUGGUAAUUCAGAGGUCAGAAACAGAAAUAUGGAAAUGUAGAAAACAACAAGAGGAGACAAAGAAAAUAUUAAACAUUUCAUAAAGAAAUAAGAAAUUGAAAGUAGGAUACAGACUGAUAAAAGUAUUUCUCAAAAUAUACACUGUUGUUAAAGACAGACCGGUGACAUUUUAAUAAACAAGAUGGCAGAAUUUAAAAUGAAUACUUUGUUUCCAUUUUCACAGUACACAAAAGGAUAAAAGAGCAGACACAGAAAGGAAAUUAAAAAUAAAUCAAGUGAAGGAACUUACUGGAUUCAAUAUAAGUAAUAAAAGAAUAAUGGAGAAACUAAUGGGAUUUAAAAUAGAUAAAUCUCUAGGACCUGACCAUUUUCACCUCAGGGUAUCAAAAGCAGAUGAAGGAAUUGCAGAUGGAUUAGUCAUAAUCAUUCAAAGCUCUUGAUUCAGGAAUUAUGCUGAAAUGCCAUUACCAUUUUAUCUUCAAGAAUGGUGGGAGAGAAAAUAAUAGCUUUACUUCAGUCUGGUGUGUUUAGGAUAAGUUUGGGAAGAGUGACUAUAACAAAUUGCUGAACAAAGAGAGACAAUUUAGCUGUAAGUGCAGCUCACAACAGCACAGGACAGAAUAAGGCCAUUUAUCCCAUUGAGCCUGUGACAUCUUUUUGAUAGAACUAAAAAAAUUCCACUUUUCUAUCCCAAUGCCCCUUUAGUUAUUUUCUCAAUAAAUAUUUGGCCACUUUUCUGCUGUAAACUAGGUGUUCUAGAUCAGGGCAAAUAGCUAUCAAGAACAGUAAGUUUCCUUAUCCCACCACCAAGCACAUCUUUCCCUCCCCCCAACUUUCUGCUUUCUGCAGGGAUCGCUCCCUACGUGACUCCCUCGUCCAUUCAUUCCCCCCAUCCCUUCCCACCCGGCACUUAUCCUUGUAAGCAGAACAAGUACUACACCUGCCCUUACACUUCCUCCCUCACCACCA